rnacentral:misc_RNA from 1 species
UUUAUGUUUUGUAUUGAUUCAGACACAAACUAUUCUGCAUAAAUGCGGCGCCGGAGCGCCGAAGCACAUUUUGCUUCCACAGGUUUGAAGGUUGAAGGCCUCAUUGGCCAUUCAGUAAUGAUCCCUCCGCAGGUUCACCUACGGAGA